rnacentral:rRNA from 1 species
CCGGGGCACUGCCCCAAAAGGGACUCGGCACCGAGCCCAGCAUUGGCCUAAGGGACUAGGCACCGAGUCCUUGACCUUAGAGGCAGUCAGCCACCACCCGUUCGGUCAUUUACUGAGGACUCUGGUUGCCGCCUCGACAGAGGGUGGAGAGCAGUUCGAAAGAACACAACGGGUAACUGCGGAAGCCUCUAGACGCCUUCUUCCUCAUGUGCCGCCGCUCAAAGCACCAACCUCAAGGACUACGAUGGUUAAUCCUCCAGGCGCCACUACCUCCUCCACUUGCUGUUGGUUGAUGGUCACCACCCGCUGCUGCAGAGACUAACCAGCCUUCGGCCGGCUUUAAGGUGAGGGCUAAGGGUGGGAACCGGGCGGCUGGUUGAGGUACCGGCGGCGGCCGCUGUUGCGCGGUCGCCCCGAGAAGAGACCGCAGACCAGGGCGGAGGUGCGGCGCCGGAGGCAGACCGCGGCGGCCCCGGUCCGGAGGGCGCUGCCACUCCACCUCCUCCUGGUCCUCCGCUGCCACGCCAGCGCGGACCGUUCCGCCCAACCGUCCUUCGAGCGGAAGCAGAGGAAGUUGGAGUUCCACGACCAUAAGUAGAUGCGCAAGACCUCCCGCUCUUCUGCCUCAAACUGGACCUCCGUUGGGUAGGUCCACGACGGCCACGAGCGGCAGGGACGAGUACCUCGGCCACGUAAUGGGUCGCCAACGCUGUCGUCGCCUCCUCGACAGGGGUUACCGGUGACCUUCGCAACUGCCCGUCUAGACACGCCGCCUACCCCGUCAACGCCGCCUCCCCCUACUACUUGGCGUCCGUAGACUCUUUAGAUAACCGGUCCAACUAGGUUUUUGUGGACCGACCUGAGCGUCCCAAUCUUAACCUCGACGACGAGGACCGUCCCGCGGAACGGGACCCGCUUGGUCACGGGAACUCUUCCGUUAAGCCCCCAAACCACUGUUCGGCCCCUCGUAACAUUAACAUGGUCGUGACCCGUGUUCGAAACUACGUGAGCCCCUCCGGAUACUAAAGAUGUUAGAGACGAGCACCCUCUUCCCUAAACCAUAUUCUAUACCCUUCUCAUCCGACUUACACCUCUCUUGUUUUACGUACGUCCUUUAACAAACGCCUACACGCCCAUUUGGCCCACACCUUUUGUGUUCUAGUACGGCUACACUUACGGGCUGUAAUUAUUCUGACGAAGCGUGUUUCCUGUUACCAACCAUGUAUCAACUCGUAGCACUUAUCGUGUUGGUAAGCGAUAGAGGGUGUAUACCUGUCUGUUAUGUGAACGGAAGUGUGUUAGUGUAACUACGAAUGUCGUCUCUGAACCACCUCGUUAACGCUGUCUUGUUACACUUAGAUCGGUUUCAUGUGUUGUAUUAACCUUCGAAGAAACCAAGUUACCUUUCCCACGGAAAGUGUUUUUCUCGAGACUUUUUAAACACACCAUUUUAGUCAUCUCUCGUCAGUCUCCUACUACACUCCUUCUGGUACCUCCACAAGCGUCUAGACCCGAGUUCUUUAGGAGUGAAGUGGAUAGCACAUGUCCGUCUGGUCCUACCAACCUAUUGUUGAGAAUACACCCGUUUACCCUCGUCGUCCAACGUCGUGUGUAAGAAACCUCUACAACAGUGGAAGCUAUGCUGUAUGCCUUGUCUGGACAUGUUGUACGGUAAACCAGACAAACACCCACACUUAUUAGUAAAAAUCUCGUAGUGGGACCGGCCACAAGAACAGGCACUACUUUUCCAGCUCUGUAAACUCACCCAAAAGUGUCUUAAGUAAUCCUACUACCCCCCAUGACGUGGGUUCUGUUAAGAUUAUCUAGUUACGGCCCGAUACCUCCAGCGGUAAUUUUUACACUACGGAGUUUGCCGUGUGGCAACCACGUUCACCGUACACGACUUCUUCCGUUUUCUUAGUGAACCAAGCAACAUGAGCUUCUUAUCGCUCAAGUCCUAUCUUAAGGUGUUCCAUCAUUUAGUGUACGAAUGUUAGCUACUUAAACUCCUUCGAACCUUCUAUAACCACCUCUUUAUAUUAAACUUCUGGGUGCUGAUGUACUCCGUCGACAUAGUAAAUAUAUUCUGUGUUCACCCGCUUCGGAAUAAAAUUUCCACAAAAGACACGAUUCUACUCUUUCGCGUUUGGUGUACAACUUCUUGAUACAUGGCGGGCCAACAGGGUACGUAUACAAACACUUCUUUAUGUACUCUGAAGUUAAACUGUCCCUUCGACUCCUCUUGAUGCUCCUCUUCGCCCGUGCCUAUCCAUCUGGUGACAUGUAUCGUUUGAAUCGAUAUCUCUCUGUACGAUCAUUCUAUAUGUGAGCUCGAUACAAACUCGUCAAACCUGUAUAAGAAAUACUCACGCCGCGUAUGGUUCACCUCCUCGCCUCCUCGAACUCUUUCCUUUUGACAUAGAAGUGAUCAUCUUUUCUCCCAAAACCAGGUGGGGCCCAAUCGGGUAAUCAGGACCAAGUCAGAUCUUGGCCCUGAUUACCCCCGUAAUCAGGGCCAAGCACGCGGGUCCCCGGUACACCCGGUAAACAGGGCCAAACAGCCCUGAUU